rnacentral:rRNA from 1 species
AAUGCUGACAUGAGUAACGACAAACAGUGUGAAAGACACUGUCGCCGAAAGUCCAAGGGUUCCUGCGUAAAGUUAAUCUCCGCAGGGUUAGCCGGCCCCUAAGGCGAGGCCGAAAGGCGUAGUCGAUGGGAAACAGGUUAAUAUUCCUGUACUUGGUGUUACUGCGAAGGGGGGACGGAGAAGGCUAUGUUAGCCGGGCGACGGUUGUCCCGGUUUAAGCAUGUAGGCGGAGGUUCCAGGUAAAUCCGGUACCUUUUAACGCUGAGGUGUGAUGACGAGGCACUACGGUGCUGAAGUAACAAAUGCCCUGCUUCCAGGAAAAGCCUCUAAGCAUCAGGUAACAUUGAAUCGUACCCCAAACCGACACAGGUGGUCAGGUAGAGAAUACCAAGGCGCUUGAGAGAACUCGGGUGAAGGAACUAGGCAAAAUGGUGCCGUAACUUCGGGAGAAGGCACGCUGAUAUGUAGGUGAAGUCCCUGCGGAUGGAGCUGAAAUCAGUCGAAGAUACCAGCUGGCUGCAACUGUUUAUUAAAAACACAGCACUGUGCAAACACGAAAGUGGACGUAUACGGUGUGACGCCUGCCCGGUGCCGGAAGGUUAAUUGAUGGGGUUAUCCGUAAGGAGAAGCUCUUGAUCGAAGCCCCGGUAAACGGCGGCCGUAACAAUAACGGUCCUAAGGUAGCGAAA